CUAUCGCUCGGGUGAAGCGAAAUCCUUUUGUGCCGGGGUUCGGCACAAAAGAUUAUAGCGAAAAGCGGGAAACCAU
rnacentral:sRNA from 1 species